rnacentral:lncRNA from 1 species
AUACAGCAGCUCCUGCUGCUUUAUAUAUAUAAUGACUUGAAUCUAUUUCUAUAAGUAUAUGUAUUUCCUUUUGUCCUUUUGCAUCCCUCCUUCCCUGCCUCUCCUCCCCCCCCCCCCCCCCCCCCCCCCCCCCCCCCCCCCCCCCCCCCCCCCAACAUCUCUCUUACCUGCUCAGCUGUCUUUCUCUUCUGCCACCUCUACGAGCUGUUUGUUGGUACAGUCACAUAUUUGUUUGAAUCAGUUCAAUUAAUUGUGAGAUUAGUUUGGCCAUGUCUAGAAUACUGAAAUAUAGGCUUAGUGGAGCAUAGCUUGCGAUCUUUAGUCAGCACCUAUAUGUAAUUUCUUGGGGGUAAGCAUCAAGUUCCCUUGGAAAGGCUGCUACUAAACAAAUAUUGAACAAACAAAUUAUCCACUUUUGAAGUACCCGUGAAAUUAUUAGAGGCAUGCUCUACAAAGAUAGGUGUGCUUUUUUGCUCUAUCACUUGCAACAGGCAUAAAGUUAAAAAUGUUCUGAAGAAGCAGCUAGCUUUGAUCCAGUGAAGUUAUUUAGCAAGUCAUGGUAGCCCAAGAGAGGUUGUGUGGCUUAAUGGUAAUAUUAUUAAUAUUUAAGGAUUUAGGUUUAUCAAAUUUGGGAGCAUGUAUUCUCAUUUUCAGUACGGUGGGGAAGUAAACUUAACCUUUGCAUGUAACUGGAAAACUUUCAGUAGGGUAUUGCUGUGUAUGAGUAUAUAAAUUGCUCAGAACAUGAAUAUAUGAAAUCUCUCUUGUUUCUUUUACUUGUGACCUAAGAAUCAGAGAGAACACGCUUCCUGCUGGACAGUGUUGCCAUUCAUGAAGUGGUAGCAAAAUUUUGAAGUAUGUGAAGUAUUAAGAAAUACCAAAUGUGUUAAUAUCCAUAAACCUACUAUCUAGGUAUUUCCCAAACCUACUGCUUUUUUUCUUCCUGUAAAUUUUGUAAAGUGGGCAAAAAUAAAUGUUUAGUAAUUUGCCUGGGAUUUCUGGUGUCUUAGCAACAUCAUUAGAGAUGACUAGAAGUCCCAGGAGAAUGAUCACUGAUCACGCGUGCAUCUUCUGCAUCGUUUUUCAGCAUGCAAAUCAAAACCUAAAAGCAACAGAAGGGAAGUGUAAUCGCUCCCUAAGAAACAAAAUUUCAAAGGUUCACGGUCAGAAUGUAACCUUACAUAAAAUGGAAACCUGUGAAGAAAGUCACAGAUAG